UAUAUCCUUCUAUCGCUCCCAUAACAGGAAGACUGUGAGACUCGGGCGUAAGCAGCGUUCGCGUACCCAGGAUAUAGACCGUAGCUGUGUAUUUUCCAUAGCAGAAAAAUGCACUAAAUCAUCUUACAAUGGAUUCAAAUAGACGAGUCUGCAACAGGAUCUCUGUUAUCUUCCUUCUUUUAGGGCACAUCGUGACUGUUCCCUUUGGAAAUAAUCAGACAACUAACUCCAGUCUUGACUGUACCAACGACUUUGACGAGCUGAUGUUGUGUCAGCUGGAGCUACAAAACUGCACUGAGUACAGUUUGACUCUCCAGAGU